rnacentral:rRNA from 1 species
UAAGACCUGAUAGUAUGGUGAGAUUGCAUGAUAGCACCAUUAAAGAUUUAUUGGUAAACGAUGGGGAUGCGUUCCAUUAGGUAGUAGGCGGGGUAACGGCCCACCUAGCCGACGAUGGAUAGGGGUUCUGAGAGGAAGGUCCCCCACAUUGGAACUGAGACACGGUCCAAACUCCUACGGGAGGCAGCAGUGAGGAAUAUUGGUCAAUGGGCGAGAGCCUGAACCAGCCAAGUAGCGUGAAGGAUGAAGGUCCUACGGAUUGUAAACUUCUUUUAUACGGGAAUAAAGUAUCCUACGUGUAGGAUUUUGUAUGUACCGUAUGAAUAAGCAUCGGCUAACUCCGUGCCAGCAGCCGCGGUAAUACGGAGGAUGCGAGCGUUAUCCGGAUUUAUUGGGUUUAAAGGGAGCGCAGACGGGAGAUUAAGUCAGCUGUGAAAGUUUGGGGCUCAACCUUAAAAUUGCAGUUGAUACUGGCGUCCUUGAGUGCGGUUGAGGUGUGCGGAAUUCGUGGUGUAGCGGUGAAAUGCUUAGAUAUCACGAAGAACUCCGAUUGCGAAGGCAGCACACUAAUCCGUAACUGACGUUCAUGCUCGAAAGUGUGGGUAUCAAACAGGAUUAGAUACC